rnacentral:tRNA from 2 species
CAAGGAGUAGUUUAAGUAGAAUAUCAGCUUUGGGUGUUGAUGGUAGGACUAUAGUCUUUUCCUUGA